rnacentral:rRNA from 1 species
ACAAGCGGUGGAGCAUGUGGUUAAUUCGACGCAACGCGAAGAACCUUACCUGGGUUUGACAUCCCGAUCGUACUCUAUGGAAACAUAGGGGUCAGUUCGGCUGGAUCGGUGACAGGUGCUGCAUGGCUGUCGUCAGCUCGUGUCGUGAGAUGUUGGGUUAAGUCCCGCAACGAGCGCAACCCUUGUCCUUAGUUGCCACCAUUCAGUUGGGCACUCUAAGGAGACUGCCGGUGUUAAACCGGAGGAAGGUGGGGAUGACGUCAAGUCCUCAUGGCCCUUAUAUCCAGGGCUACACACGUGCUACAAUGGCCGGUACAAAGGGUCGCAAUACCGCGAGGUGGAGCUAAUCCCAAAAAGCCGGUCUCAGUUCGGAUUGGAGUCUGCAACUCGACUCCAUGAAGUCGGAAUCGCCAGUAAUCGCGUAUCAGCGUGACGCGGUGAAUACGUUCCCGGGCCUU